CGUGUACAGGUGCUGCAUGGCUGUCGUCAGCUCGUGUCGUGAGAUGUUCGGUUAAGUCCGCUAACGAGCGCAACCCUCGCUGUGUGUUACAAGUGUCACACGGAACUGCCGGUCAUAAACCGGAGGAAGGUGGGAUGACGUCAAGUCAGCAUGGCCUUUAUAUCCUGGGCUACACACACGCUACAAUGGGAAGGGACAAUAGGUUGCGAAGCCGCGAGGCGGAGCCAAUCCAGCAAAACUUCCCUCAGUUCAGAUUGCAGGCUGCAACUCGCCUGCAUGAAGUUGGAGUUGCUAGUAAACGCAGGUCAGCCAUACUGCGUUGAAUACGUUCCCGGGGCUU
rnacentral:rRNA from 1 species